GUGGGGAAUAUUGCGCAAUGGGCGAAAGCCUGACGCAGCGACGCCGCGUGGAGGAUGACGGCCUUCGGGUUGUAAACUCCUGUCAGGUGGGAAGAAGGGGGUGACGGCAAAUAACCGGCGCCCUUGACUGUACCACCGGAGGAAGCCCCGGCUAACUCCGUGCCAGCAGCCGCGGUAAAACGGAGGGGGCAAGCGUUGCUCGGAAUCACUGGGCGUAAAGGGCAAGUAGGCGGCCUUGCAAGUCAGAUGUGGAAGCCCUCGGCUCAACCGAGGAAUUGCAUCUGAUACUGUGAGGCUCGAGUCCGGGAGAGGUGGGCGGAAUUCCCGGUGUAGCGGUGAAAUGCGUUGAUAUCGGGAGGAACGCCGGUGGCGAAGGCGGCCCACUGGACCGGCACUGACGCUCAGAGGCGAAAGCUAGGGGAGCAAACGGGAUUAGAAACCCGGGUAGUCC
rnacentral:rRNA from 1 species